GGCCUUUUAUCAAUUUCUGAUUCACUUUAGAAUAUUUCCCUAGGUCUUGGAGACAUGAUUUCGGUUACUGUAUUAACAUGUCGACAUGUUCUGUUAGUGAUUUCUCCCUAGGUAUUUUUCUUUUUCUGUCCUUGUUGUCUCCUGCAGCCAGCCAGGUGAAUAUGUAUUCCAGAAAUAUGUUUAAUCUGAACCUAAGAAGAAAAUUACAUUGUUACAUUGUGGCAGUCCUACAGUAAUAUUGUAGAGGUUUAAACCCGUUAAUUUGUCUACUAAGCACAUCUAUUAGCGAGUCAAUUUAGAGUAGUAGUACUACUUUUAGUUGUGCACCUGCUACUAGUACCAAGGCCAAGUGUUCGCUCACUUUCUCUCAACCUUGAGGCAGACACCGAGCUAGCACUUGCCAUCACAGUGACACAACGCGUUGCUUCUUCAACUCCGUUGCUCCAUCACUAGGUCGCCCUCCUGAAUAGUGCUCGUGACAAGUGAUCCUAAAUCUUUUUUCUUCAUGUUAUUCCUCUUUUUAUUUCGAUCACUUAACACUCUAAUUGUCUUCUUAUGAUUUCUUGUUUUUGGGAUGCAGGUCUAGGUAGCUCUGUAACAGUCGUGCCACUGCAUGGCGCACAAUAGAGCUUGAGAGGGCAACCAUGAUGGCCGUUGGGAGCUGCACCACGAUCAACCAAGGGUAUGAUUGGGUCGCGAGCUACUUGGUGUUGUCCAUCAGAAUCUGCCAUGACAUGUAGUUGCCACCAGGAGGAUCGACGACAAGCACAUGAGUGGCACCCUUAGUAGUUUAUAUGUU